GAAAAUGUACAUGUGAUGAGCCUUGGGCGGAUAGGGGAAACUCUGUCCGUUCGGCGUCUGUUUGACGUGCUCGGGUCGGGCCAAAUUGGCAUCGGUCCCGGGGCGUGACAGAUAGCGUGGUAUCAGAGCCAAUAGUGAAAGAAUAAGAAUGAACCUAGAGACCCUUAGGAUUGGAAGACCUUAAGGUUCUAGGAAAUGUGAGCGACGUGGGAUCAGAUUUAGCCAAAGC
rnacentral:lncRNA from 1 species